UCAGGACGUAGCUUAACCACUCAAAGCAUCCGGCNUACACCCGGAAGACUUCGUAUCGUCCGAACGCCCUGA
rnacentral:tRNA from 1 species